AAGUCAACAACCAUCUCCACUGUCUUGAGGGCGUUGAGCUCCAGGUUGUUCUGUCUGCACCAGGACACCAGGUGGUUGAUCUCACAUCUGUAGGCAGACUCGGCCCUAUCAGAGAUGAGUCAGAUGAGGGUUAUUAGGCUUAAUUAU